GAGCCGAGUAGUGCUAGAAAUAUGUAAUGGAAAGCGCCAUUAGAGAGGUGGAGCUAUGACAUAAUCAAAGUAGCAUUUCAGUAGCUCGUUUAUGCUGCGAGUAUAACAUAACUGUUUAAUAUUUUUUGUCGGCAUGUCUUAUGUAAAAUCUCAUCCUACCAUUUGUGGUUUUUUCUCUGCAUGUUUUGCUGUGGUGAAACUUCACAUCGCUGAUAAAUAACAGACCUCACCUUUUCCUUCGCGCGGCUUAGCAUGAGUGACUGCACCCCCAGUCUCUCCGACAGAGAGUGCGUCCUCAGCUGUGAAUCACUUGUGCUCAAGCGCUCACUCCUCUCGUCUUUCACCCGCACGGAGUGAGCCGAGGAGAGAAGAUAAUCUCUGAGACGUCGCCCUGCUGUCAAAGGUCGGCAGAUGUGAAAGGUCGUCCUGUGCAUCAUUUACAGGCUCCUAAUUUAGUAGUCCUAAAUAGGCCCAGACUUCACCAAGUAAAGCAGAUAUCGGGGUCUACGAGUUAUGAAUUAUCUUCACAUUCUCUCCAAGUCUGUGUGCUGAGAAAUGAGGGAUACGGUUCAAGAGAAGGCAAGCAUUGUGGGAAGAGGAAGAUCUAAGGGAGAGAUAAAGGGAGACGGAAAGAAAACAAACACUGUAAAAACAGGAGAUAAAGGCCAGAGGUUAUUAAAGUGGCAUCUAGUGACCUAUUAGAUUCCUCAAGUGGCCUCCUGUCUGUCUCUUGUUCUGUAAUAUUUCACCAUGAAUAAAUAAAUGGUCUUUGUGACUUAGUAAAAUAUCAUAAACAAGUCAUUUCCUUUACUAACUGAAAUAUAGGGGUCACAGUUGAUGGAUGAUGUAUGUGAAAAGUCAUUUUUACCAGCAAUGAUGUUAGUUUCCAAAAGAUGUAACUUCAAACAAAGAGAUUGUCAUACAUAUCGCCAACAUACGUUGUGUUGUGUACUUAUAUUAGCCAAAACUUUACCAACACUCUUUAAUUUCAUCUGUAUUUCUGGUGAAAGAGCAUUUAAAUGUGGUCAAUGAUGGCAUCUCUGCAGUAACUUCUGGGGUAAAACCCAGUGAGGCUUCCAGUCAGCCGGUGUGUUACGUCUUCUUUUUGCAUUAUAUUGUACGUAUUUGUCACUAAUGGAUCACAACUGCUCAUUGCACAUUUUAAGUGCCUGUCACUACCUGAUCCAAACCAGAGACCAUUUUGUAUCUAAAACCCUUAGCCUCGCCUUAACCCUAGAAACAGCCUUUGUAACAGGAAGUAGCCUAACUUUUGCACAUGAACAAAUUGGGAUCUCAGUACAGAUUGGGUGGAUACAGUGUAAUCUGCCACCGACAGCACAAUAAUUACUGAAUUGCCUAAUUUGUCAACUUCUGUGUGAAAGAGGACAGCAUUGGACAGAUCUUCCAAACCUGUUGUUUUAACAUUAGUGAGGUGAAAGUGUAUGAUGGCCUUAAAGUGCAAAAAAACAGGGAGUGGCAGCACUUAACACAAACUAAAUAUGUUCCAUUUCACAUAUAAGCCAUUUUUUACACAUAAUGUUUAAUGUUUAUUCUGGACGACACUCGCCCAUUAAUUCGCUGUCUUUUUCUAAUCUUCUGCUUUUAAACAUGAGGUCACUUGGACAUUAUAAGAAGAUUUGACUAGAGAGUUGGCAGGAGAAGCUGUGGACUUCUGUGCAGGUCUGAAAGAGCGUAUUCUGUGACUUAUGUUUCUCAUCAGCGAGUCACCAUCUGACCAUCUGACUCAGAGCCAGUGUUCUUUUCCUAUACGCUCCACGGCUCACGGCCUCGGCGGUUUCACUCGGACUGGUCUGCCCAGAGAACCGCCGCCCUCUACCCAGAGAGAGCCUUCCCCGCAUGGGGACACGUCUGGAUGACCCCCUGGUAUGCUGGAGGAGCCAGACCCAGGAGAUAAAGAGCGAAUAUAAAGACAAAUCAAAUGCAACCAAAAGGAAAUUUUAUGAUCUCACCAGAGGACAGUCAUCAUGGCAGAGCCGGCAAAAAA